CGCGGCUGCGCACGCGUUUUGAGGGAGCAUCAUGGCCGAACCUGCAGCGUUGCUAGGAGGGAGCUGAGGCUCCAGGAUCGGCGAAUGAAGCAUUUGGCAGGCGCCCGGAGACAGAGGGUGGAAGGGCAGCCCAUUUCCAGCAUCUGCAUUGUUUUAUUUUUGGAUUGUGAUGUCAGCAAGCCGGGGAGACAGUGGAAGAUGAUUCCAUGUUAUGAUGUCAUUAUGGCUUCCAGAUGUAAAUAAAGAUUGUCAAUUCUG